rnacentral:rRNA from 1 species
UGUCUCGUAAAUUGAGACUUGUAUGAAUGGCUAAACGAGGUCUUAACUGUCUCUUACAGGCGAUCGGUGAAAUUGAUCUCCCUGUGCAAAAGCAGGGAUAAACCCAUAAGACGAGAAGACCCUGUGGAACUUCAAAAUCAGCAACCACUCUACAAACACAUUCACACCCACUGGGUACACGUACUUACAAGAUGAUGGUCUGCAUUUUUCGGUUGGGGCGACCUUGGAGAAAAACAGAUCCUCCAAAGAUUAGACCACACCUCUAGACUGAGAGCAACCCCUCAACGUGCUAAUAGCACCCAGACCCAAUAUAAUUGAUCAAUGGACCAAGCUACCCCAGGGAUAACAGCGCAAUCUCCUCCGAAAGUCCCUAUCGACGAGGGGGUUUACGACCUCGAUGUUGGAUCAGGACAUCCUAGUGGUGCAGCCGCUACUAAGGGUUCGUUUGUUCAACGAUUAAAGU